UACGGGGGGGGUAAGCGUUGUUCGGAAUUACUGGGCGUAAAGGGCUCGUAGGCGGCCAACUAAGUCAGACGUGAAAUCCCUCAGCUUAACUGGGGAACUGCGUCUGAUACUGGAUGGCUUGGAUUCGGGAGAGGAAUGCGGAAUUCCAGGUGUAGCGGUGAAAUGCGUAGAUAUCUGGAGGAACACCGGUGGCGAAGGCGGCAUCCUGGACCGGUAUUGACGCUGAGGCGCGAAAGCCAGGGGAGCAAACGGG
rnacentral:rRNA from 1 species